CAUAAAGAUUCGGUUGUCGAUUUUAUAGAGAAAUAUGAAGGUUUUAAUUUCCUGUUUAUUUGUGUUAACUGGAAUAUUAUACGUCAACUGUCAGAUUCCAGGUGGUUGGAAUCAUAUAGACGUUGAUACGAUUCCAGAUAUAGUGCUUAAGGCUGCCAAGGACAAACUUGACUCAGAAAACAUAUUAUUUAACACCACCACCGUUGUGAAGGCAGAGGAACAGGUAAUAAGUGGAUGGAACUUUAAGUUUACAGUCCGACUAGACAAUCAAAAAGAAUGCCAGUUUUUCAUAUUUUACAAAUGGGAUUGGACAACGACUAUACGAGAAUUCCAUUGCAGUAACUCAUAGACUAAGUUAUAGUCGU